rnacentral:rRNA from 1 species
GAUGAACGCUGACAGAAUGCUUAACACAUGCAAGUCAACUGUGGCGGACGGGUGAGUAACGCGUAAAGAACUUGCCUCACAGUUAGGGACAACAUUUGGAAACGAAUGCUAAUACCUGAUACUGUGAGAGAGCUUUGCGUCCCAUUAGCUAGUUGGAGAGGUAACGGCUCACCAAGGCGAUGAUGGGUAGCCGGCCUGAGAGGGUGAUCGGCCACAAGGGGACUGAGACACGGCCCUGACUGCUACGGGAGGCAGCAGUGUGGAAUAGUGGACAAUUGACCAAAGUCUGAUCCAGCAAUUCUGUGUGCACGAUGAAGUUUUCGGAAUGUAAAGUGCUUUCAGUUGGGAAGCGGUACCAACAGAAGAAGUGACGGCUAACUACGUGCCAGCAGCCGCGGUAAUUC